rnacentral:sRNA from 1 species
AGCAAAAACCCCGCUUGCGCGGGGUU